AUGCCGCCUCAAACCUCGAGCAUUGGCCUCAACGCGGCUGCGCCACAGUCCAGCCCAGCCUCAGCCCAUUCCAACCCUGACUCAGGGCGGGCAGCUGAAAGCUUGGCAUCCGAUGUGGAGUGUCCCCCUUCGCCUCCACGGAAGAGAAUGGAGAAACGAAAGCACCUCUCUCCACCAAGGUCGGUCCCAUCGCAAGGCAAUUUAUGCCCUUUUCCAAUGGUACCAUACCAUUUUGACCCCUUCAUGUGGCAAUCCUGGUACGAGAGGUUCCAGCCUGAGCAGGCUAAACGGCCAAAAACAACGCCGGAACUCCCCCAUGCCGUUCCCUUUGUGGACUCAAGCCGCCUCCGUGCGAUUGUUUCGGCCCCGCCCGUUCGCCCCCUCGUCCCAUCGAAGCAGAUGCGAGACAAGGUUUGCGAGGCCCUACCAAUGCGUUCUGCCCCCUCGAUGCUGGACCCGGUAACAUCUCAAGGCCCUUUCGAAGAUUUGCCACCCCAAGGGCAUCAAGCUCCCCUGAUGGAAGGCUUUGGCCCAUCGGACUACCCUUCGUCUCCAGGUUCCCCUGCAUCUUUGGAGGCACAACACUCUCAGUCCUCCCGUGAGCCUGACCUUCCCCCUCCUAUCCCAGAUACGAGGGGCAACCACGCUUCAUCCUCCUCGGAUGACUUCUAUUCAACCCUCAUCUUUCAGAUGGCACAAGCUCUAAAUCUCGACACUGAACAACCCCCGUCCGCUGAUGCCGACCCGGUGUUCGAUGACAUUAACCAGGAGCGUCCCGUUCCUUUGAGUCUCUCCUUUGACAAGUCUAUCCUUCAGCUUAUCAAGGACACUUGGGGAAAAACCCCUUCAAUCAUGGAGAUCUUUCGCCGCACCAAUGGCCUCUAUAGGACCCAUGGUGCCGAUGCCGAAUUCCUCAACAAACAUCCAGUGCCUAAUUCUAUCAUCGUCGAGUCUAGUCAAGCUCAAUCUCAGGCUAAGUCCAAACCUACCCUCACCAAUAAGGAUGGCAGGAAAGUCGACACGAUGGCCAAACGAAUUUACUCUCUCCAAGACUUCUUACUCAGAAGCAUCAGUUAUCAAGCAACUAUGGGCGCUUUUCAGCAUCAUCUUUGGAAUCAAGUCCUUCCUUUCAUUGAAUCAUCUCCUGAACCCAUGAGAUCCGACCUCAUCAACAUCCAUUCACAGGCUAUUUCUCUCGCCAAGUAUCAGAGGAUUGCGGCGCAACACUCCUCUGAGGCCGCUUCUAAAACUCUAGUCACCUCUAUUUCUAUUCGACGCCAUGCCUGGCUUAAAUCCUGCACAAUCUCUGAUGACACUGAGUCGAGAAUUGAGGACUUGCCUUUUGACGGUGCCGGCCUGUUCAACUCCACAACUGAUAACACCAUGGAAGACUUCCAUAAGAAGCAUAAGACUGUGCACUCUUAUUCUGCCCACCCGUCUUCCGCCUAUCAACGGUCCUACCGUUCGGGCCAGUAUCAUCCUAAACAAUAUCAAAAUCAAAGGUUCCAACAUUAUAGACAUUAUUGCCCCCAUCAAGCUGACAGGUCCCUACCUGCCCCUCAACCUCUGAUGGCAUUGUACUGA
rnacentral:lncRNA from 1 species